UCCCCGGCUAGGCAUGGACUAGCUACCCAUGCCGAAAAGGCGGAACCCUUGCCGCCCUGCCGAGGGAGACCAAAAGAGCGU
rnacentral:ncRNA from 1 species